rnacentral:lncRNA from 1 species
UCUCUGGUUUUGCUCGGCCUGCAUAUGUGAAUUCUAGAUGUUCUCUAACUGAGGCCCCUGUUCACUCCCUGUCCAUCUGCCACACCUUAGCCUGCUUUCCUAAGCAAUCAGCAUAGACCACGACAUUCAUGUCUGCCUGGUGGGGGAAACCUGAACCACUCCUUUGCCUUUCCAGAGGGACGGGACACCAACAGUGGCACUGCGUACAGGGCAAAUUGGGAACCUUAUCGUCCCAAAGAGGCCCAUGCUAAGCUGUGAGGAAUGCUCAGGGUAGCAAGGCCAAUAUAUUCUUAGUCACAGCCAUCUCCAGAGGCUGCAGACAAGCCGGGUUUAGCCCCAGAGUGGUAACUGUCUCGUGAUGAGUAGGACAGGAGGAAAAAGUCCUUGCCACCAUGAUGUACAUAGCACUCAGCAUCCACAUCUUGAGUCCAAGCUCCUGAGGUGUGUGGCUGUGAAUACUCAGCACCUGGUUCAUUCAUCUCAGUCCCAGGCAAUUUGUCUGUCCAGUUCUUAGCCUGAAACACUCAACCACUCAACUCACUGGAACAGCAGAUCAGAGCUGGCCAGGGAUGGGCCCAGAGCGGUGGCUCAGUAGAUCCUGACUGGCUAAGGACCCGACAGCCACACCUCAGAGUGCAAAAACCAGGCAAGAAACAAAAAAACAAUUCCCAUGUGAUUGACAGUCCACUUGACACCCGUCUCAUACAGGAGCACCAUUGUAAGAGAGGCAGAUCUAGAACACCCUGUGGGGUGAAUGCAGGCUACUUAUGCUUCAGCCACUUUCUCUCCACUAUCACCACUGGCCAACCCACCUCGGAGCUCUCUGAAUGAUUCGCUGCGCCUGUGACCCCGCACAGCCCAGGUGAAUGAAAGCCGUGGGCUGAUCUGUGCAGGUCUCCUGUAUGUCCUGUCCCCUUGACAUUCCCCGCGAGGAGAGAAAGCAGCCAGCAUGAUCAGGGCUGGUCUAGUCCAGCAAUGCAGCUGUUUAGGCUACAUUUCUC